AAUGGGGGAUAACGUAGCGAAAGUUACGCUAAUACCGCAUAUGCCCUGAGGGGGAAAGGUGGGGAUCGCAAGACCUAUCGUUUUCGGAGUGGCCGAUAUCAGAUUAGCUAGUUGGUGGGGUAAAGGCCCACCAAGGCGACGAUCUGUAGCGGGUCUGAGAGGAUGAUCCGCCACACUGGGACUGAGACACGGCCCAGACUCCUACGGGAGGCAGCAGUGGGGAAUUUUGGACAAUGGGGGCAACCCUGAUCCAGCCAUGCCGCGUGAGUGAAGAAGGCCUUCGGGUUGUAAAGCUCUUUCAGCCGGAAAGAAAUCGCGCAGGCUAAUAUCCUGUGUGGAUGACGGUACCGGAAGAAGAAGCACCGGCUAACUACGUGCCAGCAGCCGCGGUAAUACGUAGGGUGCGAGCGUUAAUCGGAAUUACUGGGCGUAAAGCGUGCGCAGGCGGUUUUGUAAGACAGGCGUGAAAUCCCCGGGCUUAACCUGGGAACUGCGUUUGUGACUGCAAGGCUAGAGUGUGGCAGAGGGGGGUAGGAUUCCG
rnacentral:rRNA from 1 species